rnacentral:rRNA from 1 species
GAUGAACGCUAGCGGCAGGCUUAAUACAUGCAAGUUGAGGGGCAGCAUGAUAUACGCGAGUAUAUUGAUGGCGACCGGCGGACGGGUGAGUAAUAGGUAGGAGACCUACCUCAUACAGGAGGAUAGCAUAGAGAAAUCUGUGGUAGUACCCCAUGAGGUUAUAUGAAUAGAGGCAUAUAAUCAAAGCAUAAGCGAUUAUGCGGUAUGAGAGGGGCCUACUGACCAUUAGCUAGUUGGUGAGGUAAGGCUCACCAAGGCGAAGAUGGUUAGGGGUUUUGAGAGAGAGACCCCCCACAUUGGAACUGAGAGACGGUCCAGACUCCUACGGGAGGCAGCAGUAGGGAAUAUUGGGCAAUGGGCGAAAGCCUGACCCAGCCAUGCCGCGUGAAGGAAGACGGCCUUAUGGGUUGUAAACUUCUUUACUACGCGUAAUAGAGGUUAGUACGAGAUACUAAUAGGAAGGUAGUGUAGUAAAAGCACCGGCUAACUCCGUG